UACGGAGGGUGCAAGCGUUAAUCGGAAUUACUGGGCGUAAAGCGUGCGCAGGCGGUUUGUUAAGUCCGUUGUGAAAGCCCCGAGCUCAACUUGGGAAUUGCAGUGGAUACUGGCAGGCUGGAGUACGGUAGAGGAAGGUGGAAUUCCCGGUGUAGCAGUGAAAUGCGUAGAUAUCGGGAGGAACACCAGUGGCGAAGGCGGCCUUCUGGUCCAGUACUGACGCUCAUGCACGAAAGCGUGGGGAGCAAACAGG
rnacentral:rRNA from 1 species